AUUUAAAUAGCUUAAAUAGAGUGUAAUAUUGAAGAUAUUAAGGUGAUUAUUAAAUCUUUAAAUA
rnacentral:tRNA from 2 species